rnacentral:lncRNA from 1 species
GUGGGUGGUUCUUAGAGGUUCAAACUCAGGUCUGAUCGAUUGAUGGCUAAUCGAGUUUUAGGGGCUAGAACUCUUGAAGCAAGGUAAAAGGGGAGCGCUGUCUUUGGUUCAAUUUUCGUAUGGAUCACCAUUGAAGGAUGGACACUUAGAUGCCUCAUGAAAAUUGGAUUAGCACUACAUGUAUUCUUCUUUUCCAAAUUUAUUUUAAUUGUAC